UCAGUUAUUAGGUUGAGUUGUGUUGGAUUUUGUUUCCAUCCAUCUUGUUUCCUAUGGAGACGUACUGAAAUAUGUUUGGGUCUCCAUACGUCUUGUUCUGUCCUUUUGAGCUCAUUUUCUUAGUUGUUGAAUCCACACCCUUCCUUUUUGUUUCAAUUGUUAGCCGUUUCCUCUUCUUUGCGAACUCUACAUGCCUGAACUCUGGUUCGAG
rnacentral:lncRNA from 1 species